rnacentral:ncRNA from 1 species
UUUCAGGGGUGCCCCAAAGGGGCUGAGAAUAAACCCUUAGAACUUGAUCCGGAUUAUACCGGCGAAAGGAGAAAGUAA